AUCAAGCUAGAGAUUGGUCAGACCAACAACUUCUGGAUACAUUUAUUGAAGGGCUUAUUCCAGAGAUCCGGUGUGAAGUUAAGGUUCGUCAACCCCGCACUAUGAUAGCUGCAAUCUCAUUUGCAAAUCUACAUGAGAAAAAAAUUGGCAAGGAAAGAUCAACAAGGGAUUUGUACUAUGAUGAAAAUUGGAGUAUGGAGCACCGAUGUAAACAAGG
rnacentral:lncRNA from 1 species